AUUGAACGCUGGCGGCAGGCCUAACACAUGCAAGUCGAGCGGAUGAAGGGAGCUUGCUCCUGGAUUCAGCGGCGGACGGGUGAGUAACGCCUAUGAAUCUGCCUGGUAGUGGGGGAUAACGUCCGGAAACGGGCGCUAAUACCGCAUACGUCCUGAGGGAGAAGGUGGGGGAUCUUCGGACCUCACGCUAUCAGAUGAGCCUAGGUCGGAUUAGCUAGUUGGUGGGGUAAAGGCCUACCAAGGCGACGAUCCGUAACUGGUCUGAGAGGAUGAUCAGUCACACUGGAACUGAGACACGGUCCAGACUCCUACGGGAGGCAGCAGUGGGGAAUAUUGGACAAUGGGCGAAAGCCUGAUCCAGCCAUGCCGCGUGUGUGAAGAAGGUCUUCGGAUUGUAAAGCACUUUAAGUUGGGAGGAAGGGCAGUAAGUUAAUACCUUGCUGUUUUGACGUUACCAACAGAAUAAGCACCGGCUAACUUCGUG
rnacentral:rRNA from 1 species